rnacentral:rRNA from 1 species
UACAGAGGUGGCAAGCGUUGUUCGGAAUUACUGGGCGUAAAGCGUGCGCAGGCGGUUUUGUAAGCCAGAUGUGAAAGCCCCGGGCUUAACCUGGGAAUGGCAUUUGGGACUGCAAGGCUUGAGUGCGGCAGAGGAGACUGGAAUUCCCGGUGUAGCAGUGAAAUGCGUAGAUAUCGGGAGGAAUACCGAUGGCGAAGGCAGGUCUCUGGGCUGACACUGACGCUCAUGCACGAAAGCGUGGGGAGCAAACAGG